UUUUUUAGUAUAGGUAUGUCCCAUGCAAUGUUUGGGAUAUACUUAUACUAAAAAA
ensembl:miRNA